rnacentral:rRNA from 1 species
UACGUAGGCAGCGAGCGUUGUUCGGAGUUACUGGGCGUAAAGAGUGCGUAGGCGGUUUCUAAGUUGGUGUGAAAUCUCCCGGCUCAACUGGGAGGGUGCGCCGAAGACUGGAAGGCUUGAGUAUGGGAGAGGUAAGCGGAAUUCCUGGUGUAGCGGUGAAUGCGUAGAUAUCAGGAGGAACACCUGCGGUGUAGACGGCUUACUGGACCAUAACUGACGCUGAGGCACGAAAGCGUGGGGAGCAAACAGG